rnacentral:rRNA from 1 species
UGAGGAAUAUUGGUCAAUGGGCGAGAGCCUGAACCAGCCAAGUAGCGUGCAGGAUGACGGCCCUAUGGGUUGUAAACUGCUUUUAUGUGGGGAUAAAGUGCGUGACGUGUCAUGCAUUGCAGGUACCACAUGAAUAAGGACCGGCUAAUUCCGUGCCAGCAGCCGCGGUAAUACGGAAGGUCCAGGCGUUAUCCGGAUUUAUUGGGUUUAAAGGGAGCGUAGGCUGUUUGUUAAGCGUGUUGUGAAAUGUAGGAGCUCAACUUUUAGAUUGCAGCGCGAACUGGCAGACUUGAGUGCGCACAACGUAGGCGGAAUUCAUGGUGUAGCGGUGAAAUGCUUAGAUAUCAUGACGAACUCCGAUUGCGAAGGCAGCUUACGGGAGCGCAACUGACGCUAAAGCUCGAAGGUGCGGGUAUCGAACAGG